rnacentral:rRNA from 1 species
UACGUAGGGGGCGAGCGUUGUCCGGAUUCAUUGGGCGUAAAGAGCUCGUAGGCGGCUUGGCAAGUCGGGUGUGAAAUCUCUGGGCUUAACUCAGAGAGGCCACUCGAUACUGCUAUGGCUAGAGUCCGGUAGGGGACCAUGGAAUUCCUGGUGUAGCGGUGAAAUGCGCAGAUAUCAGGAGGAACACCGGUGGCGAAGGCGGUGGUCUGGGCCAAUACUGACGCUCAGGCACGAAAGCGUGGGGAGCAAACAGG